AUGUUCUAUGACCCGAUUGCCUAGGACCACGGCUCACGGGUAGUCUAUUACCGUCUGUCUUGGUUCUUCUCUUCCUUUUCCCCAACAUCCUAGAAAACCAGGACAGGAUUUAACACGUUUAAUCAAAUAUUCCUCAAUCCUAUAAUUGCAGAGCUUUUCAUUUUCACGCCAGUUCUUCUAGGGUUGUCCUGGCGUUCCUAUUGUGGAUUUUUUUUUUUUGCUUUAUUAGACUAUGAAUCAGUCCUGUUUACUGGCAAACAACAGAGACUCCCAUAAAAAUAGAUACUGUAUUUAGCGCCUAUACACUUACAAGAUAGAGUAGGGGUGAAUCCACACUUUCAGUAAAUGUGAGAACAAUCGCUGCAUUAUUGACUGAUUUUCCUGAAACAUUUUUGUUUAGAAAUGUUCACUUGGUAGUUGAGGUAGGCAGGGAGUAAAAAGGUUAUUCGUAGAAAAGAUAUGACUCUCUCUCUGGGGCAGAGAGUAGUAAACUCGCCUCAAAUAACAUAAUGUGAAGUGAUUAAAUUACUGCCUGUGAGAACCCUAGAGGGAAAGUUUCUGAUUUUUUUGUGUUUUUAUUUUAGUAGUCCUUCUGUUACUUAAGAGCCGUUUUUAAAAGUGAAAAGGAUCCCAACCUUUAGAAUAAAUAAAUUAGGCAUUUUAUUUCAAUUAAGCAUGCUUUAUAUAACAAAUGUACUUACAUUAAAGUGGGUGCACUACUGAGAAUAGUGCAGUAUGGAGAAGCAUUUUUAAUACACUAAAGCAUACCCAAAUGUUGAUAAAACACCACUAGCUCUUCCCAUGUACAUUCACAUGAGAAAAUGUUAAUAAUAAAGUAUUACUCCAUGGUCUAUGUAUUUCCAACUUGCUAGAAUCUUUCCUGGUGGAAAUAUUUGUUUUCACAUCUACUUGAUAACCUGAAUGAGAGAAGCACCUCCUCAUUAAGGGAACAGAUAUCAAAUUCUUCUAAUACACAUCAACUUUAAAUGCAGUUCAGGAACUGAAUCUGGUCUAGCGCAGCAAAGGAGGAAAGGACGAAGCCUGGUAAGUGUAGAGGACUCAGUUGUGGCUAAUUUCACAACCAACUC